GAUUAAGAUUAUAUUGAAUGGGAUCUGAGAAUAGGAUUUAUUGCUAAUAUAUUCUAGUUCCUUUUAAAUAUUGAAUGGGAAUAAAAAAUGGGAUUAGGAUUUAGGAUUAUAUUCAAUCCGUGUUUCUCACUCAAAAGCUAAAUAUAAAGAACUAGUUUGGUAGAUUUGAGUGUUUGCUUUUAAGUCUUCCUUCGGUUUUAAGAAAUUUUGGGUAAGUGAACGAAAAUUUCUAAUUUCCCUUUUGCUGGAACGAUAUGUAUAAUGCUUAGCUAUAUAUGCUAGUACAUAAAUUUCCCUUUUACUGCAACAAAUAGAAAUUUUAUUGAUAGGCAUCAUCCGUAAACAACAAAAAAUAAGGACUACCGCAAGUUAACAAUUACCUGAUUAAAUGGCCAUAAAUUGCAGCCCCUGUGGGAGAUAGAUUCUUCCCUUAUUAAAAUACUUUUGAGGUCCGAUAAAUUUAUUUUUGCCAUUUACAAAUUUGGUUGUGUAAACAUGGCUUGUUAGUUGUUGGCAUGAUAUCGAGAAGUAGCUGCCCUUGCUCUAUUUGGGUCAGAUAUUAUGCUACAACUCAAGCUCUCUAAUAGCUUUCCAUUUCUUGCUUACUUUUCUAUUUGAGUUGGGAUGAGACUUUUCGCGAGUUUCUUUUCUUCAUUCUAGGCUCACAAGUUGUGAAGAAAUCAAGCUUAUUUCUUUCCCCACUUAAAUGCCCCAUGGCAGGCACAUUCUACAGAAGUCCUGCUCCUGGUGAACCACCAUUCAUGAAGGCAAUUAAUAUAAAUUUGAUGAUGGAAAAAGAAAAAAAUGAAGGUAGGAAUGGAUUUGUAUUUGUAAGGUAGAUGUGUGUAUCAAUUUUUUGUAUUUUUUGUAUACAACACAUGCUCAGAAGAAAUUAUCUUGUCAUUAGCUUUACCCCCGUUUAGACUAUUUCAAUGCUUUAUUUCUUCUUUCACAGUUCGAGGCUUCACAUCUCUUUGUAUUCGCAUCGUUACAUGGUUAUAUAAUCAUAAGCUGCAACCCUAUAUCAGUUGAUACCCUGAGUAGCUACAUUUGCAUGGUCAUGUUAUUCUAGCAUCAUAAUUUAUGCCAUUUAUCAGCUACUAGAUGACACUAUAUCAAUGUUGACACUGUGAGUUCUCUGGUCUAAUCAAUAUUGGUUGAUAGUAUAAGUGAUAUACUAUUUUAAUCUCUCUUCACUUUAAGUGUGUUCUGAUUUUUCUUACACCUGUUUAUAGCCUCUGUUUUUGAUUGAAACAUAGAGCAAGUAGAGUUAAAAGCAUGGUAUUAAGGAAUAAGAUGGUCUACCUUAUAUUUAAGGCGGGUUGAAGCAUGCUUUUUACUCCUAGGAACGUGUUGUGCUGGGAAUGAGAUUAUAGUUAGAAUUGGAAAUGAAAGUCUCCAAUAAAUUCCUUUCUUUACCUGUAUUAGAAUUUGUUGAAAUAUUUCUUUUGCUACUAUGCAUACCAAACUAUAUCAUUAUUCCUCCCAAAGAAGAAAUGAUAAUCCUCCUUUUUUUUUUUGCUACUACAUAUACUAAACUAUUUCAAAAAUUUGUAAUGAAAUUAUCAUUUUUAUACAAUUCCAAAAUUUGUCAUUUUCAAUUUUGUGAGUCAAUUUACAUAAAUUACUAUAUAAA
rnacentral:lncRNA from 1 species